UACAGAGGGUGCAAGCGUUAAUCGGAAUUACUGGGCGUAAAGCGUGCGUAGACGGUUAUGUAAGUCGGGUGUGAAAGCCCCGGGCUCAACCUGGGAAUGCCAUUCGAGACUGCAUAGCUAGGGUGCGGAAGAGGGAAGCGGAAUUUCCGGUGUAGCGGUGAAAUGCGUAGAUAUCGGAAGGAACACCAAUGGCUAAGGCAGCUCGCUGGGACGGUACUGACGCUGAGACGCGAAAGCGUGGGGAGCAAACAGG
rnacentral:rRNA from 1 species